GGUGGAGUGGUUCUUUGGUAGAACACCUGCCUAGCAAGCUCGAGCUCCUGAGUUUAAUUCCCAGUACCAUCC
rnacentral:tRNA from 1 species